AGUGAACGCUGGCGGUAGGCCUAACACAUGCAAGUCGAACGGCAGCACAGGAGAGCUUGCUCUCUGGGUGGCGAGUGGCGGACGGGUGAGGAAUACAUCGGAAUCUACUUUUUCGUGGGGGAUAACGUAGGGAAACUUACGCUAAUACCGCAUACGACCUACGGGUGAAAGCAGGGGAUCUUCGGACCUUGCGCGAUUGAAUGAGCCGAUGUCGGAUUAGCUAGUUGGCGGGGUAAAGGCCCACCAAGGCGACGAUCCGUAGCUGGUCUGAGAGGAUGAGCAGCCACACUAGAACUGAGACACGGUCCAGACUCCUACGGGAGGCAGCAGUGGGGAAUAUUGGACAAUGGGCGCAAGCCUGAUCCAGCCAUACCGCGUGGGCGAAGAAGGCCUUCGGGUUGUAAAGCCCUUUUGUUGGGAAAGAAAUCCAGCUGGCUAAUACCCGGUUGGGAUGACGGUACCCAAAGAAUAAGCACCGGCUAACUUCGUGCCAGCCGCCGCCGUAA
rnacentral:rRNA from 1 species